rnacentral:rRNA from 1 species
GAAGAGAGCUUGCUCUCUGAUUCAGCGGCGGACGGGUGAGUAAUGCCUAGGAAUCUGCCUGGUAGUGGGGGACAACGUCUCGAAAGGGACGCUAAUACCGCAUACGUCCUACGGGAGAAAGCAGGGGACCUUCGGGCCUUGCGCUAUCAGAUGAGCCUAGGUCGGAUUAGCUAGUUGGUGAGGUAAUGGCUCACCAAGGCGACGAUCCGUAACUGGUCUGAGAGGAUGAUCAGUCACACUGGAACUGAGACACGGUCCAGACUCCUACGGGAGGCAGCAGUGGGGAAUAUUGGACAAUGGGCGAAAGCCUGAUCCAGCCAUGCCGCGUGUGUGAAGAAGGUCUUCGGAUUGUAAAGCACUUUAAGUUGGGAGGAAGGGCAGUAAAUUAAUACUUUGCUGUUUUGACGUUACCGACAGAAUAAGCACCGGCUAACUCUGUGCCAGCAGCCGCGGUAAUACAGAGGGUGCAAGCGUUAAUCGGAAUUACUGGGCGUAAAGCGCGCGUAGGUGGUUUGUUAAGUUGGAUGUGAAAG